UGGGGGAUAUUGCACAAUGGGGGAAACCCUGAUGCAGCGACGCCGCGUGAAGGAAGAAGUAUCUCGGUAUGUAAACUUCUAUCAGCAGGGAAGAAAAUGACGGUACCUGACCAAGAAGCCCCGGCUAACUACGUGCCAGCAGCCGCGGUAAUACGUAGGGGGCAAGCGUUAUCCGGAUUUACUGGGUGUAAAGGGAGCGUAGGCGGCGACGCAAGUCAGAAGUGAAAGCCCGGGGCUCAACUCCGGGACUGCUUUUGAAACUGCGUUGCUAGAUUGCGGGAGAGGCAAGUGGAAUUCCUAGUGUAGCGGUGAAAUGCGUAGAUAUUAGGAGGAACACCAGUGGCGAAGGCGGCUUGCUGGACCGUGAAUGACGCUGAGGCUCGAAAGCGUGGGGAGCAAACAGG
rnacentral:rRNA from 1 species